GAUGAAGAACGUAGCGAAAUGCGAUAAGUAGUGUGAAUUGCAGAAUUCAGUGAAUCAUCGAAUCUUUGAACGCACAUUGCGCCCUUUGGUAUUCCAAAGGGCAUGCCUGUUCGAGCGUCAUUUGUACCCUCAAGCUUUGCUUGGUGUUGGGCGUCUUGUCUCUAGCUUUGCUGGAGACUCGCCUUAAAGUAAUUGGCAGCCGGCCUACUGGUUUCGGAGCGCAGCACAAGUCGCACUCUCUAUCAGCAAAGGUCUAGCAUCCACUAAGCCUUUUUUUCAACUUUUGACCUCGGAUCAGGUAGGGAUACCCGCUGAACUUAAGCAUAUCAAAUAAGCGGAGGA
rnacentral:misc_RNA from 1 species